rnacentral:rRNA from 1 species
UACGUAGGGCGCAAGCGUUGUCCGGAAUUAUUGGGCGUAAAGAGCUCGUAGGCGGCCUGUCGCGUCCGCUGUGAAAUCCCGGGGCUUAACCCCGGGCGUGCAGUGGAUACGGGCUGGCUAGAGGCAGGCAGGGGAGAACGGAAUUCCCGGUGUAGCGGUGAAAUGCGCAGAUAUCGGGAGGAACACCGGUGGCGAAGGCGGUUCUCUGGGCCUUACCUGACGCUGAGGCGCGAAAGCCAGGGGAGCAAACGGG